rnacentral:rRNA from 1 species
UACGUAGGGGGCUAGCGUUGUCCGGAAUCAUUGGGCGUAAAGCGCGUGUAGGCGGUCCGGUAAGUCCGCUGUGAAAGUCGGGGGCUCAACCCUCGGAUGCCGGUGGAUACUGUCGGGCUUGAGUACGGAAGAGGCGAGUGGAAUUCCUGGUGUAGCGGUGAAAUGCGUAGAUAUCUGCAGGAACACCCGUGGCGAAAGCGGCGCGCUGGACCACUACUGACGCUGAGGAACGAAAGCUAGGGGAGCAAACAGG